AGCGAACGCUGGCGGCAGGCCUAACACAUGCAAGUCGAACGAACCUUUCGGGGUUAGUGGCGGACGGGUGAGUAACACGUGGGAACGUGCCUUUAGGUUCGGAAUAACUCAGGGAAACUUGUGCUAAUACCGAAUGUGCCCUUCGGGGGAAAGAUUAAUCGCCUUUAGAGCGGCCCGCGUCUGAUUAGCUAGUUGGUUGAGGUAAUGGCUCACCAAGGCGACGAUCAGUAGCUGGUCUGAGAGGAUGAUCAGCCACAUUGGGACUGAGACACGGCCCAAACUCCUACGGGAGGCAGCAGUGGGGAAUCUUGCGCAAUGGGAGAAAGCCUGACGCAGCCAUGCCGCGUGAAUGAUGAAGGUCUUAGGAUUGUAAAAUUCUUUCACCGGGGACGAUAAUGACGGUACCCGGAGAAGAAGCCCCGGCUAACUUCGUG
rnacentral:rRNA from 1 species